rnacentral:rRNA from 1 species
UACGUAGGGUGCAAGCGUUGUCCGGAAUUAUUGGGCGUAAAGAGCUCGUAGGCGGUCUGUCGCGUCUGCUGUGAAAACCCGAGGCUUAACCUCGGGCUGGCGGUGGAUACGGGCAGACUAGAGGUAGGUAGGGGAGAAUGGAAUUCCCGGUGUAGCGGUGAAAUGCGCAGAUAUCGGGAGGAACACCGGUGGCGAAGGCGGUUCUCUGGGCCUUACCUGACGCUGAGGAGCGAAAGCAUGGGGAGCGAACAGGA